GUGCUCGCCUUGACAGCACUUAUACUAAAAUUGGAAUGAUACAGAGAAGAUUAGCAUGGAUGCUGUGCAAGGAUGACAUGCAAAUUCAUGAAGCAUUCCAUAUUUUU
ensembl:snRNA U6 U6 spliceosomal RNA